rnacentral:rRNA from 1 species
AUGUAAAUUUUUGUAUGAAUUUUUAUUUUAUUAAAUAUAAAAUUUAUUAAUUAAUAGUCGCAGUAAUUAAUAUUAUUAAUUAAGUAAAUUUAGAAAUAGUAAUAUUUUGAAGCAUUGGCUAAAUUUGUGCCAGCAGUCGCGGUUAUACAAAUAAUGCAAGUGAAUUAUUUUCGGUAUGAGUUAAAUUGUAAAUUUUUAUUGAAAUAAUUAUUAGUUUAUUAGGUGAAAUUUUAAGCUAGUUGUAGAUUUUAUUAUAAAAUUAUUGAAACUUUAAAAUUUUAUUUAUAAACUAGGAUUAGAUACCCUAUUAUUUGAAAUGUAUUUUUUAUACUAAAGUAGUAGUAGUUAUGUUCUUGGAACUUAAAAAAUUUGGCGGUAUUUUAGUCUAUUCAGAGGAACCUGUUCUGUAAUCGAUAGUCCACGAUGUACCUUACUUGGAAUGGUAAUCAGUUUAUAUACCGUCGUUAUUAGAAUAUUUUAUUAGAAUAAUAAUUUUCUUAAAUUUUUAUAUAAUUUUAUAUCAGAUCAAGGUGUAGCUUAUAUCUAAGAAGAAAUGGGUUACAAUAAAUUUAUUUAUACGGAUUUAAUAGUGAAAUUUUUAAUGAAGGUGGAUUUGAUAGUAAAAUUAUAGAGAUUAAUAAUUUGAUUUUAGCUCUAAAAUAUGCACACAUCGCCCGUCGCUCUUAUUUUUAAAGUAAGAUAAGUCGUAACAUAGUAGAUGUA